UACGUAGGGACCAAGCGUUGUUCGGAUUUACUGGGCGUAAAGGGCGCGUAGGCGGCGUGGUAAGUCACUUGUGAAAUCUCUGAGCUUAACUCAGAACGGCCAAGUGAUACUGCUGUGCUAGAGUGCAGAAGGGGCAAUCGGAAUUCUUGGUGUAGCGGUGAAAUGCGUAGAGAUCAGGAAGAACAUCGGUGGCGAAGGCGCUCUGCUGGACCAUAACUGACACUCAGGGACGAAAGCUAGGGGAGCGAAUGGG
rnacentral:rRNA from 1 species